CAUAGGUUAAUGAGGCGAACCGGGGGAACUGAAACAUCUAAGUACCCCGAGGAAAAGAAAUCAACCGAGAUUCCCCCAGUAGCGGCGAGCGAACGGGGAGGAGCCCAGAGCCUGAAUCAGUGUGUGUGUUAGUGGAAGCGUCUGGAAAGGCGCGCGAUACAGGGUGACAGCCCCGUACACAAAAAUGCACAUAUUGUGAGCUCGAUGAGUAGGGCGGGACACGUGGUAUCCUGUCUGAAUAUGGGGGGACCAUCCUCCAAGGCUAAAUACUCCUGACUGACCGAUAGUGAACCAGUACCGUGAGGGAAAGGCGAAAAGAACCCCGGCGAGGGGAGUGAAAAAGAACCUGAAACCGUGUACGUACAAGCAGUGGGAGCCUCUUUAUGGGGUGACUGCGUACCUUUUGUAUAAUGGGUCAGCGACUUAUAUUCUGUAGCAAGGUUAACCGAAUAGGGGAGCCGAAGGGAAACCGAGUCUUAACUGGGCGUUAAGUUGCAGGGUAUAGACCCGAAACCCGGUGAUCUAGCCAUGGGCAGGUUGAAGGUUGGGUAACACUAACUGGAGGACCGAACCGACUAAUGUUGAAAAAUUAGCGGAUGACUUGUGGCUGGGGGUGAAAGGCCAAUCAAACCGGGAGAUAGCUGGUUCUCCCCGAAAGCUAUUUAGGUAGCGCCUCGUGAAUUCAUCUCCGGGGGUAGAGCACUGUUUCGGCAAGGGGGUCAUCCCGACUUACCAACCCGAUGCAAACUGCGAAUACCGGAGAAUGUUAUCACGGGAGACACACGGCGGGUGCUAACGUCCGUCGUGAAGAGGGAAACAACCCAGACCGCCAGCUAAGGUCCCAAAGUCAUGGUUAAGUGGGAAACGAUGUGGGAAGGCCCAGACAGCCAGGAUGUUGGCUUAGAAGCAGCCAUCAUUUAAAGAAAGCGUAAUAGCUCACUGGUCGAGUCGGCCUGCGCGGAAGAUGUAACGGGGCUAAACCAUGCACCGAAGCUGCGGCAGCGACACUAUGUGUUGUUGGGU
rnacentral:rRNA from 1 species